GCAGUAGCCGCGGUAAUACGAAGGGUGCAAGCGUUAAUCGGAAUUACUGGGCGUAAAGCGUGCGUAGGCGGUGAGUUAAGUCUGCUGUGAAAUCCCCGGGCUCAACCUGGGAAUGGCAGUGGAUACUGGCUCGCUAGAGUGUGUCAGAGGAUGGUGGAAUUCCCGGUGUAGCGGUGAAAUGCGUAGAGAUCGGGAGGAACAUCAGUGGCGAAGGCGGCCAUCUGGUACAACACUGACGCUGAGGCACGAAAGCGUGGGGAGCAAACAGGAUUAGAUACCCGCGUAGUCCCUGUCUCUUAUAC
rnacentral:rRNA from 1 species